rnacentral:rRNA from 1 species
GACGAACGCUGGCGGCGUGCUUAACACAUGCAAGUCGAGCGGUAAGGCCCUUUCGGGGGUACGACGAGCGGCGAACGGGUGAGUAACACGUGGGUGACCUGCCCUUACGCUCUGGGAUAAGCCUGGGAAACUGGGUCUAAUACCGGAUAUGACUCCAUGACGCAUGUUGUGGGGUGGAAAGCCUUGUGCGGCUAGGGAUGGGCCCGCGGCCUAUCAGCUUGUUGGUGGGGUGAGGCCUACCAAGGCGACGACGGGUAGCCGGCCUGAGAGGGCGACCGGCCACACUGGGACUGAGACACGGCCCAGACUCCUACGGGAGGCAGCAGUGGGGAAUCUUGCGCAAUGGGCGAAAGCCUGACGCAGCGACGCCGCGUGAGGGAUGACGGCCUU